AGUAAUCUAACUUUAAGGUCACGGAUAACGUCGGGAAACUGACCGUAAACCGUGAUGGGAGACGAUUUCUGGAAGGAGUUGUCUUUAAAAUUCGAGCUUAAAGAUGAGACUGCGGCGGAUUAGGUAGUUGGCGGGGUAACUGCCCACCAAGCCAAUGAUCCGUAAGGGCUCUUAGCGGAGAGGCCCUGAGAUGGACUCUGAGACACUAGUCCAAGCCCUACGGGGUGCAGCAGUUAGGGAUUUUUUGCAAUGCGCGAAAGCGUGACAAAGCGAGCCAGAGUGAUUUUCCUUUUAGGAAAAUCUUUUGCCAGCUUUAAAAAGGCUGGCGAAUAAGGACUGGGCAAGACCGGUGCCAGCCGCCGCGGUAAUCCCGGCGGUCCAAGUCGUAGCCACAAUUAUUGGGUCUAAAACAUCCGUAGCUUGUUUCGUAAGUCUCUUGUGAAAUCCAACAUCUUAAGUGUUGGGCGUGCAAGAGAUACUGCGGAGCUAGAGGCCGGGGGACGUAAGAAGUACAUUCAAGGUAGUGGUAAAAUACGUUGAUCUUGGGUGGACUAACAAUAGCGAAGGCAUCUUACGAUAACGGUUCUGACAGUGAGGGAUGAAGGCUAGGGGCGCAAAAAGGAUUAGAUACCCUUGUAGUCCUAGCAGUAAACACUGCACACUAAACGUCGGGAUCUCCUCGUGAGAUUUCGGUGCUGAAGCGAAGGUGAAAAGUGUGCUACCUGGGAAGUAUAGCCGCAAGGUCGAAACUUAA
rnacentral:rRNA from 1 species